rnacentral:rRNA from 1 species
GACGAACGCUGGCGGCGUGCCGAACACAUGCAAGUCGAACGGAGUUAUUUGUUUAGAUCCCUUCGGGGUGACGAACUUUUAACUUAGUGGCGGACGGGUGAGUAACGCGUGAGUAACCUGCCUCUGAGAGGGGAAUAACGUUCUGAAAAGAUCGCUAAUACCGCAUAACAUAUCGAAGUCGCAUGGCUUUGAUAUCAAAGAUUUUAUCGCUCGGAGAUGGACUCGCGUCCGAUUAGCUUGUUGGCGGGGUAACGGCCCACCAAGGCGACGAUCGGUAGCGGGACUGGGAGGUUGAUCGGCCACAUUGGGACUGAGACACGUCCCAGACUCCUACGGGGGGCAGCAGUGGGGGAUAUUGCGCAAUGGGGACAACCCUGACGCAGCAACGCCGCGUGAAGGAAGACGGUUUUCGGAUUGUAAACUUCUUUUGUCAGGGACGAAUUCUGACGGUACCUGACGAAUAAGCUCCGGCUAACUACGUGCCAGCCGCCGCAGUAAAAC